rnacentral:rRNA from 1 species
AUUGAACGCUGGCGGCAGGCCUAACACAUGCAAGUCGAGCGGAGCGGCGGACGGGUGAGUAAUGCCUAGGAAUUUGCCUGUUAGUGGGGGAUCCCGUCCGGAAACGGGCGCUUAUACCGCAUACUAUCAGAUGAGCCUCGGUGGGAUUAGCUAGUUGGUGGGGUAAAGGCCUACCAAGGCGACGAUCCGUAACUGGUCUGAGAGGAUGAUCAGUCACACUGGGACUGAGACACGGUCCAGACUCCUACGGGAGGCAGCAGUGGGGAAUGUUGGACAAUGGGCGAAAGCCUGAUCCAGCCAUGCCGCGUGUGUGAAGAAGGUCUUCGGAUUGUAAAGCACUUUUAGUAGGGAAGCGGUACCAACAGAAUAAGCACCGGCUAACUUCGUGCCAGCAGCCGCGGUAAUUC